GACGAACGCUGGCGGCGUGCUUAACACAUGCAAGUCGAACGGAAAGGCCCUGCUUUUGUGGGGUGUUCGAGUGGCGAACGGGUGAGUAACACGUGAGUAACAUGCCCUUGACUUUGGGAUAACUCCAGGAAACUGGGGCUCAUACCGGAUAGGAGAUCCUGCUGCAUGGUGGGGGUUGGAAAGUUUCGGCGGUUGGGGAUGGACUCGCGGCUUAUCAGCUUGUUGGUGGGGUAGUGGCUUACCAAGGCUUUGACGGGUAGCCGGCCUGAGAGGGUGACCGGCCACAUUGGGACUGAGGUACGGCCCAGACGCCUACGGGAGGCAGCAGUGGGGAAUAUUGCACAAUGGGCGGAAGCCUGAUGCAGCAACGCCGCGUGCGGGAUGACGGCCUUCGGGUUGUAAACCGCUUUCGCCUGUGACGAAGCGUGAGUGACGGUAAUGGGUAAAGAAGCACCGGCUAACUACGUG
rnacentral:rRNA from 1 species